CUACGGGUCGCUCCAGUGAGGAAUAUUGCACAAUGGGGGAAACCCUGAUGCAGCAACGCCGCGUGGAGGAUGACGCAUUUCGGUGUGUAAACUCCUUUUAUCAGAGAAGAAAAUGACGGUAUCUGAUGAAUAAGCUCCGGCUAACUCCGUGCCAGCAGCCGCGGUAAUACGGAGGGAGCAAGCGUUAUUCGGAAUCACUGGGCGUAAAGGACGCGUAGGCGGGUUUUUAAGUCAGGUGUGAAAUCCUAUGGCUCAACCAUAGAACUGCACUUGAAACUGGGGACCUAGAGUAUGGAAGGGGCAGGUGGAAUUAGUGGUGUAGGGGUAACAUCCGUAGAUAUCACUAGGAAUACCGAAAGCGAAGGCGACCUGCUGGGACAUUACUGACGCUGAGGCGUGAAAGCGUGGGGAGCAAACAGGAUUAGAUACCCGAGUAGUC
rnacentral:rRNA from 1 species